rnacentral:rRNA from 1 species
GACGAACGCUGGCGGCGUGCUUAACACAUGCAAGUCGAACGGUAAGGCCCUUCGGGGUACACGAGUGGCGAACGGGUGAGUAACACGUGGGUGAUCUGCCCCGCACUUCGGGAUAAGCCAGGGGAACUGGGGCUAAUACCGGAUAGGACUCCGGGCUGCAUGGGCCGGGGUGGAAAGCAUUUGCGGUGUGGGAUGGGCCCGCGGCCUAUGAGCGUGGUGGGGGGGUCAGGGCCUACCAAGGCGACGACGGGUAGCCGGCCUGAGAGGGUGACCGGCCACACUGGGACUGAGAUACGGCCCAGACUCCUACGGGAGGCAGCAGUGGGGAAUAUUGCACAAUGGGCGCAAGCCUGAUGCAGCGACGCCGCGUGAGGGAUGACGGCCUUCGGGUUGUAAACCUCUUUCAGCACAGACGAAGCGCAAGUGACGGUAUGUGCAGAAGAAGGACCGGCCAACUACGUGCCAGCAGCCGCGGUAA